rnacentral:ncRNA from 1 species
AUCGCCUCUCGCUCCUACCGAUUGAAUGAUCCAGUGAGAUAUUUGGAUCAUGGUGACGUAGGUGGUUCGUUGCCUACAACAUCGCGAGAAGUCCAUUCAACCUUAUCAUUUAGAGGAUGGAGAAGUCGUAACAAGGUUUUCGUAGGUUAACCUACAAAAG